rnacentral:lncRNA from 1 species
GUUGGGUUGAUAGAGUUGUGUUGGCUUUAUAAGCAAAUAGUCUUAAUUUUUUCUUUUGAUGGAUGAAAUUUGUCAACUUGUCUACUUUAAAUGCCCCAUCCAAAGUUCAACCAUAUUUUGGUCUAGUCCAAUUAAGGGUGACUUGAAUUUUUUCGAGUCAUCAAAAAGCCAACACAAAUCUAGUAUAGGGAAGAUGAUGUCAAAAUCUAAUACCAAUUCUACCAAUGAAUAAUGAUUUUGCUCCUAAUAAUACCAAAAAAAAUGAGUUGUAAUUAGUUGUUAGUCUUCCUUAUAGUAAUAGUAGCUUCUAUGUUGUAUAGAAGCAUUGGCCAGCCUUAAAGCACAAUAUGAUGAGAUGAAGAAGAGCAUGGAGGAUACUAAGGUUGAAUGGGGUUGUUGUCACUCCUAUAAUGGGUAUCACUCGAAUGAUUGUAUCUCCUCAGUCUAAGGAGUAUGACUGACUGUAAAAGAUUGUUAAGGAGAUCAACAAAUUCUUAUGUCACAUGAAGAGGUACUUUGAGAUGCUCAACUAUAAAGAAAAAAAGCUCAAAGUAAGGAUAGCUAUCCUUGUCUUGUUGUUCUUGCUGCUGUGCAGUGCUUCGAAAAUAUAUAAAAAUAGAAAAGGGUA